rnacentral:misc_RNA from 1 species
UGCUUAUGAUUUUAUUCUAUCAUUGCCUGUGAAACCCGAUUCCGCUAUCUGGGGGGCUUUAUUAAAUGCGUGUAGGAUCCACAGGCAGAUUGAACUUGGAGAACUAGCAGCUAGACACAUCCUUGAAACAGAUGAGAGAGGUGUGGGAUAUUAUGUACUCCUCUGCAACUUCUAUUCUGACAAUGGUAGAUGGGAUGAAGUUGUAAGAUUAAGGAAGAUUAUGAUAGAAAAAGGACUGACUAUUGAUCCUGGUUGCAGCUGGAUAGAAGUAAAGGGAAAUGUGCAUGCAUUUCUUAGUGGUGAUAACUUACAUCCCCAAAGCAA